GAUGAACGCUGGCGGCGUGCCUAAUACAUGCAAGUCGAACGAAGAUCUAGCUUGCUAGAUCUUAGUGGCGAACGGGUGAGUAAUACAUAAAUAAUCUGCCCAUAUGACUGGGAUAACUAUUGGAAACGAUAGCUAAUACCGGAUAGGUUGAUUGGAGGCAUCUCUGAUUAAUUAAAGUAGGAUUUCUACACAAAUGGAUGAGUUUAUGGCGCAUUAGUUAGUUGGUGGGGUAACGGCCUACCAAGACGAUGAUGCGUAGCCGACCUGAGAGGGUGACCGGCCACACUGGGACUGAGACACGGCCCAGACUCCUACGGGAGGCAGCAGUAGGGAAUUUUCGGCAAUGGGCGCAAGCCUGACCGAGCAACGCCGCGUGAGUGAUUAAGGCCUUCGGGUUGUAAAGCUCUGUUGUAAGGGAAGAACAUUCAGGAUAGGAAAUGAUCUUGAACUGACGGUACCUUACCAGAAAGCCACGGCUAACUACGUGCCAGCAGCCGCCGCUGUAA
rnacentral:rRNA from 1 species